rnacentral:rRNA from 1 species
GAUGAACGCUGGCGGCGUGCCUAAUACAUGCAAGUCGAGCGAACGGACGAGAAGCUUGCUUCUCUGAUGUUAGCGGCGGACGGGUGAGUAACACGUGGAUAACCUACCUAUAAGACUGGGAUAACUUCGGGAAACCGGAGCUAAUACCGGAUAAUAUUUUGAACCGCAUGGUUCAAAAGUGAAAGACGGUCUUGCUGUCACUUAUAGAUGGAUCCGCGCUGCAUUAGCUAGUUGGUAAGGUAACGGCUUACCAAGGCAACGAUGCAUAGCCGACCUGAGAGGGUGAUCGGCCACACUGGAACUGAGACACGGUCCAGACUCCUACGGGAGGCAGCAGUAGGGAAUCUUCCGCAAUGGGCGAAAGCCUGACGGAGCUACGCCGCGUGAGUGAUGAAGGUCUUCGGAUCGUAAAACUCUGUUAUUAGGGAAGAACAUAUGUGUAAGUAACUGUGCACAUCUCGACGGUACCUAAUCAGAAAGCCACGGCUAACUACGUG